AUUGAACGCUGGCGGCAGGCUUAACACAUGCAAGUCGAGCGGGGUGAUGGUGCUUGCACUAUCACUUAGCGGCGGACGGGUAAGUAAUGCCUAGGAAUCUGCCUGGUAGUGGGGGACAACGUUUCGAAAGGAACGCUAAUACCGCAUACGUCCUACGGGAGAAAGCAGGGGACCUUCGGGCCUUGCGCUAUCAGAUUAGCCGAGGUCGGAUUAGCUAGUUGGGGGGGUAAUGGCCCACCAAGGCGACGAACCGUAACUGGUUUGAGAGGAUGAUCAGUCACACUGGAACUGAGACACGGUCCAGACUCCUACGGGAGGCAGCAGUGGGGAAUAUUGGAAAAUGGGCGAAAGCCUGAUCCAGCAAUGCCGCGUGUGUGAAGAAGGUCUUCGGAUUGUAAGGCACUUUAAGUUGGGAGGAAGGGCAGUAAGUUAAUACCUUGCUGUUUUGACGUUACCGACAGAAUAAGCACCGGCUAACUCUGUGCCAGCCGCCGCGGUAA
rnacentral:rRNA from 1 species